rnacentral:lncRNA from 1 species
CCUGGGGUCCCACAGCUUCUCAGGGGUCUGUGGCUACCCAGAGCCACAGAGAUGUCUGGGGUCAUACAGCACCCCAGAAUCGUAAAGACACCUGGGGACACACUGUCAUGCAGGGUCAUACAGCUGUCCAGGUCGUGCAGCCACCUGAGCUCCUCCAGACGUUCCAUGUCAUGCAGCUUCCCGAGGUCGUGCAGCUCUCUGGGGUCAUAUGCCUAUGCAGGGUCAUACAGCUUUCUAAGCUGGGCCCAACUGCCAAUGAGUCUCUUUGCUGCUCUGUGCCUUGGAUUCCUCAUCUGCAAAAUGGGUGCACAAGUUCAGGUCUGGCUUGACUCAAGAGCCCGGGGCAUGAGGGAUGGCACUGUAAGGGACGGAGCACCGACCAAGCCCUGCCCACGGCACUUGGGUGCACUUCUGCUGGAAGAGGAAGCCGAGGCGCAGAGAUGUCAGGUGGCAGGCCUGCUGUCAUACGGCAGCAGUGUUGUUUCUCCUCCUUGGGGCACCUCCUCCAGGAAGCCUUCCAGACCACACAAGUGUAUGGUAAUUCCUGCCUCUCCCCCAGCGCACACCAAAAAUAAAGCCGGGCUUUGUGCCUUGAAUCACCAUUUACAGAGCAAUGUAUACUUCACAAAGUAUUUUUCUGUCCGUGUCUCACUGAACCUCACAGGAACCCUAAUGGGGUCAGAUGAGUUUUGUCCCCGUUUUGCAGAUGGGGACCUGGGAGGCAAGGGGAGGGUGUAUGCUCACACGAGGGUGCAGUUGCACCCGUGCCAACCCUUCCCGAAAACUGCCUGGGUGCCAAGGGCUGCCCCGUGUUUCCACACAGUUGUUUACUCAAUAACCAUUGACUGAGCACCUACUCUGUGCCAGCCGCCGACACAGAUGCUGUGCCAGCAGCACCGAGAAAACAGACCAACACAGUCCCUCCUCCUGCAAGCCGCGUCCUAGGGAGAAGAGACCGUGCUCGGCAAGUCAGGUGGUGAGUGAGGUGGUGACACUCUGUGCAGACCAAGAAGUGGGGGGAAGCCCGAGGGGGGCAUCAGGCAAGAUCGCAGGUGAGGGGACUUGGAGACACCUGAAGGAGGGAAGGGACAGCCCCAAGGAUGUCCACCCCGAAGCCAGACUGUCUCCCAUGGGGGGCCGGGCCGUGCCCCUCUGCCCCCACCCUGAACACUCCCCGAGGAGGCCCCCCGCUGCAGCUCUCCCCGGCCCUGCCUGCUGGGCCCUCGCCCUCGCCCCGGCCACCAAUCCUGCACCCC